rnacentral:piRNA from 1 species
GAGCUUAGAAUUGGGGCAUUUUUUAAAGA